CGCGUAGGCGGCCGAUCAAGUCGGAGGUGAAAUCCCUCGGCUCAACUGAGGAAUUGCCUUCGAUACUGUUCGGCUUGAGUCCUGGAGAGGGUAGCGGAAUUCCCGGUGUAGCGGUGAAAUGCGUAGAGACCGGGAAGAACACCAGUGGCGAAGGCGGCUACCUGGACAGGUACUGACGCUGAAGCGCGAAAGUAGGAGGGCGAAC
rnacentral:rRNA from 1 species